rnacentral:rRNA from 1 species
CUACGGGAGGCUGCAGUGAGGAAUAUUGCACAAUGGGGGGAACCCUGAUGCAGCAACGCCGCGUGGAGGAUGACGCAUCUCGGUGUGUAAACUCCUUUUAUAUGUCAGGAAAAUGACGGUAGCAUAUGAAUAAGCACCGGCUAACUCCGUGCCAGCAGCCGCGGUAAUACGGAGGGUGCAAGCGUUACUCGGAAUCACUGGGCGUAAAGGACGCGUAGGCGGGUUGGAAAGUCAGGUGUGAAAUCCUACAGCUUAACUGUAGAACUGCACUUGAAACUUCUAAUCUAGAGUAUGGGAGGGGGAGAUGGAAUUAGUGGUGUAGGGGUAAAAUCCGUAGAUAUCACUAGGAAUACCUAAAGCGAAGGCGAUCUCCUGGAACAUUACUGACGCUAAGGCGUGAAAGCGUGGGGAGCAAACAGGAUUAGAUACCGCGUAGUC